rnacentral:misc_RNA from 1 species
AAUCCCCUGUUUCUCUCAAAUCUUUGGUAACUUCAAUACAUAUUAAUGUCUACCCUACUCUAUUGCUUAUUCUGCCUAUUACACACUUCUUCAGUCAACUCAAUAUUCGCACUCAACUCCAACUUCUCAAAGCAACUCAUCACAGCUCAACUCCGUUCUUUUCCCUCUCCACUUCCUUCUCACUCUAGUUAAUGCUAAAUAGGAAGAUGAUAUCCCUAAUACAAUUUAAGAAUUAUAUUAUUGCUAAUUCAAUUUAGGAAUUAUAUUCCAUGU